UGGUAUCCAAAAUCUGUAAAUUACAAAAUCUUUGUGUCACUCUUGUGUAACUCUAUAUUAGACGUCUGCAUGAUUACACUCAUAACAAAGCCACAUUGAGUACAUUCGAAAUGAGUGGAAUAUGAUUGAGUGAAAAGGACAGAAUGAGACGAAUGUGUAUACUACUUUUUCGCAAGACGAACAUGUUGUGUCUCAUGCCGAAUGACUGAGUAUAACGAAAGAAGAGGAAAGUGAAAGGAAAACUUCGAAAACACUCAAACUACUCAAGUAGUUCGAAGAAUAUUUUGUAUAUUCAUUUUUUGCUUUGAGAAAUUGUGAGCAGACGUGCGAAAUGGAAGCGGAACCUGCAGGAAAAAAUGUAUGUAUUUUUCGGCAAAUACCAGCGUGUUGUUUUUGUGUUUUGUUUAAAGCUUGUGUUUUAGUUUUACUAACAAAAUGUGUAGUUGUGACCGUCUAUAUAUGUUUCCUGUGUUGAUAUUUGCAGAUUUAAUAUUUAUUUGGUUUCAAUAUAUAAAAUUUAGGAGAGUACGUUGCUUAAAAGCGACGAAAUAAAAAAAAUGCUACAAAGUGGAGUGUACAGCUUAACAGAUAAAAGCGGACGAAGCGAAGUGUGGCGAUAUUUUGCCAAAAUAAAAAACGAAUGUGGAAUCGAGUUCGAUGGCCUUUUUUCUUGCAAAAUGUGUUUCUCGGUUUUGAAGUUUUCAGGUAGCACAUCAAAUUUGGUGAAGCACAAAUGCUACAAUGUGAUCUGUAAAACAGAGAAAACUUUACUAAUCGAAACAAAUUCUGCAACAAAGCAUGAAGCUGUUAAUGUUGUUACCGAAUGGGUAAUAAAAAAUUGUCGCCCGUUUAAAAUUGUCGAAGAUUCCGGACUCAAAAACUUUGCAUCAUUUUUGAUUAAAGUAGGAGCAAUUUUUGGUAGUAAUGUCGACGUCGAGAAAUUGCUACCGCAUCCAACAACUAUAUCAAGAAACAUAGGUGCAAUAUACGACACACACUUUGGCCCGAUUCAAGAUGAAAUUAAAAAAUGUAAGAGUUUCGGAUACGCCAUUACCAGUGACAUAUGGACAGACAAUUUUUUAAAAUCAUCUUACUUGUCAUGUACCAUACACUACAUUAAGGAUGGAGCUCUUGUUGACCGAUUAUUAGCCAUGAAGUCGAUGAAGGAAGUCUCCUGCACAGGUGCAAAUGUACAUGCAAAAAUCGCCGACGUUUUAAGAGAUUUUGGAUGUGACCUCGAAAAUGACAAUCCAGUUAUUGUUACUGAUCGUGGGUCAAACAUGAUUAAAGCCUUCUGCAA